rnacentral:SRP_RNA from 15 species
UGCCAGACUUGGCCGGGGGGUUAGGCGUCCCCUGUACCCGAAGUCUAGAUGCGGGGGCGACAGCCCGGUGAGACCACCUGGGUUUCUGCCAGGCCCUGCGGAAUCAAUGAUCUCCUGUCCCUCUGGAUCGGAGGCCCAUGGACACGAUCUCAAAGGAGAACGCGCCCAUGGCUUGCCAGGGGAACGCGCCAGGCCCGGAAGGGAGCAACGACACCCUGGACUCUCGAUGCUGGAGGGGUGCGGGGGUGAGAGGAAACAGGGGGUACCUGACAGGACGCCCAGACCGAACCGGGUGUGUCUGGCU